GGAGACAUGGCCGAGAGGCUGAAGGCACCCGUCUGGAAGUCGGGCAGACCCGUAACAGGGUCUCGGGAGUUCGAAUCUCUCUGUCUCCG
rnacentral:tRNA from 1 species